GACGAACGCUGGCGGCGUGCUUAACACAUGCAAGUCGAGCGGAAAGGCUCCUUCGGGGGUACUCGAGCGGCGAACGGGUGAGUAACACGUGAGUAAUCUGCCCUUGGCUUCGGGAUAGCCACCGGAAACGGUGAUUAAUACCGGAUACGACCACUUCUCGCAUGGGAUGGUGGUGGAAAGUUUUUCGGCCAGGGAUGUGCUCGCGGCCUAUCAGCUUGAUGGUGAGGUAAUGGCUCACCAUGGCUUCGACGGGUAGCCGGCCUGAGAGGGUGACCGGUCACACUGGGACUGAGACACGGCCCAGACUCCUACGGGAGGCAGCAGUGGGGAAUAUUGGACAAUGGGCGGAAGCCUGAUCCAGCAACGCCGCGUGAGGGAUGACGGCCUUCGGGUUGUAAACCUCUUUCAGCAGGGACGAAGCGCAAGUGACGGUACCUGCAGAAGAAGCACCGGCCAACUACGUGCCAGCAGCCGCAGUAACAC
rnacentral:rRNA from 1 species